rnacentral:rRNA from 1 species
UACGUAGGGUGCAAGCGUUAAUCGGAAUCACUGGGCGUAAAGCGCACGUAGGCGGAUCUUUAAGUCAGGGGUGAAAUCCUGGAGCUCAACUCCAGAACUGCCUUUGAUACUGGCGAUCUUGAGUCCGGGAGAGGUGAGUGGAACUGCGAGUGUAGAGGUGAAAUUCGUAGAUAUUCGCAAGAACACCAGUGGCGAAGGCGGCUCACUGGUCCGGUACUGACGCUGAGGUGCGAAAGCGUGGGGAGCAAACAGG